AGCGAACGUUUGCGGCGGGCCUAACACAUGCAAGUCGAACGCACUAGCAAUAGUGAGUGGCGCACGGGUGCGUAACACGUGGGUAAUCAACCCUUCAGCUUGGGAUAACGACUUGAAAGGGUCGCUAAUACCGGAUACGGCGCGGGAGGCUUCGGCUUCUCACGAGAAAGCCUCGCAAGGGGCACUGAAGGACGAGCCUGCGGCCCAUCAGCUAGUUGGUGAGGUAAGAGCUCACCAAGGCGAAGACGGGUAGCUGGUCUGAGAGGAUGAUCAGCCACACUGGAACUGAGACACGGUCCAGACUCCUACGGGAGGCAGCAGUGGGGAAUAUUGCGCAAUGGGCGAAAGCCUGACGCAGCCACGCCGCGUGAGCGAUGAAGGCCUUCGGGUCGGUAAAGCGUCUGUGGGGAGAGACGAAGAAAG
rnacentral:rRNA from 1 species